rnacentral:rRNA from 1 species
CAGCAGCCGCGGGAAUACGAAGGGGGCUAGCGUUGCUCGGAAUUACUGGGCGUAAAGGGCGCGUAGGCGGACAGUUAAGUUGGGGGUGAAAGCCCGGGGCUCAACCUCGGAAUUGCCUUCAAUACUGGCUGUCUUGAGUACGGGAGAGGUGAGUGGAACUCCGAGUGUAGAGGUGAAAUUCGUAGAUAUUCGGAAGAACACCAGUGGCGAAGGCGACUCACUGGCCCGUUACUGACGCUGAGGCGCGAAAGCGUGGGGAGCAAACAGGAUUAGAGACCCGCGUAGUCCCUGUCUCUUAUAC